rnacentral:rRNA from 1 species
AACGAACGCUGGCGGCAUGCCUAACACAUGCAAGUCGAACGAAGUCUUCGGACUUAGUGGCGCACGGGUGCGUAACGCGUGGGAAUCUGCCCUUGGGUGCGGAAUAACUUCUCGAAAGGGAUGCUAAUACGCAUAAUGUCGUAAGACCAAAGAUUUAUCGCCCAAGGAUGAGCCCGCGUAAGAAUUAGCUAGUUGGUGGGGUAAAAGCCUACCAAGGCGACGAUCUUUAGCUGGUCUGAGAGGAUGAUCAGCCACACUGGGACUGGAGACACGGCCCAGACUCCUACGGGAGGCAGC